rnacentral:rRNA from 1 species
UACGAAGGAUGCAAGCGUUAUCCGGAUUUAUUGGGUUUAAAGGGUGCGUAGGCGGACUUAUAAGUCAGUGGUGAAAUCUCGUUGCUUAACAACGAACGUGCCAUUGAUACUGUAGGUCUUGAGUAUGAUUGAGGUGGGCGGAAUGUGUCAUGUAGCGGUGAAAUGCUUAGAUAUGACACAGAACACCGAUUGCGAAGGCAGCUCACUAAGCCAUAACUGACGCUGAUGCACGAAAGCGUGGGGAGCAAACAGG